AAUGCUUCGCAGCCACGGACCCGACGCAGAGGGAAGCGAGCCGCAGCCUCCGCAGCAGGAUGCCCCGCUGGGCCCGAACCCGUGUGCUGCCGGCUCCUCCUAUUCAGCUGUGCCCCAAACCUCCUGGGGUUGAAACUGCUUUCGUGCCACAACUGGCAGGUUGCCUCCACAGAAAUCCCUUGUAUACAACGCUCUUGCUGCCUGGCAGCUACUGGGCUGCAGCUACAUGCAGGGAGCAAAGGGCCUGGAGGUUUGCACUGUGAAUGCCAGGCUUUGAUAGGAUGUGCAUGGGGCUGAGUCAGGCCUCGUUUGGGUUCGGUUUCAAUAGGCUGGAUGGGGUCCGCCCCGCAGGUGAAGGAAGCCAUUUCAGAUGCCAGCAAAAGAAGACACAAAGAAAGAGCAGGAGCCUAUUCCCACUGCCUAAAAAGUGAGGUGCCCCCGCUCUACUCCAGGCUUAAGACAGGAGAUGGAGAUGGGAGUCCAGUUCGCACAGCCUGCACUGGACCACGUACAGCUAGCAGGACGAUGAACUAGGAGGGCAGCAUCUCCACAUCCCGCCCUUCUGGCUACCAUGCUAUUAACUCCUUACGUUGCACAUCUCAGUGCUUUAUUCAGGAGAGUGAAUUGCAGAAUCAGAGCAGCUGACCAGCAGAAACUUUCCUAAUGCCUGCCUGCCUUCACCUCGUAGUGAAGGUGCUUCUGAUUAACAACGUUUCCAAGGGCGGAGAGACCCAGAGCAACACAAAGACACCUGGGGAGACAGGUGGGGCUGGAGAGGGAGCACAGGGUAGAGCACUGGACACCUGCCUCUAGCAAACUGAAUGCAAACCCAGCUUGCACCAGCUGUGGGGGGUGAUUGCACUGGUCACAGACCCCAAAGGGGCACCCUUUCUUGCUCCAUCCACCGUGGCAGUCAAGGUGUCAGCUUGACAGUGUGAUCUGGUUGUGGGUCAUUUGGGUUUCGCCCACAUUACAAUGCUAGGAGGUUUGAGACUCACCCACUGUCACCAGGGUCGUGACACAAUUCCAUCAUGGUGCAUGUCUUUAUCCACUGCUCCCUCGUUGUCCGUGACACCAUAAGAAACAAGUGUGGCCCGAUGUGCAAUGACCGGCACUGGAACAUGGAGCACACCGGGGUUAUUGUUUUAUAGUUGCAUGGCAAGAAACAGGCUUAUGAAACAUGCUGUGCUCAUAACUGAUCUGUGUAACCAUGUGUAUUUGCCCCUCUUCCCCCAGCUUCCUGCCCCACAACACUUUCAAAAGGUUUGUUCCACCUACUUGUCACUUCCCGCCUUAAUUCAGAUCAUGGAUGUUUAGGGCAGAUCCCAUCGUUCACUGCAAGGCCACAAGGCUCCCAUCUCGAGCAAGGCUUCGAGACACCGCUGCUGUAGAAACGGCAAUGCUAAAAAGUG